rnacentral:lncRNA from 1 species
GGCCCUCCAAAAGGAGUCAUGGAAUGACUGUUAAAAUUAACUGCUGAUCCCUUUAUUGCCGGUGACUGUGUUGCUUGGCUGGAGUCUGACCCGUAAUGGCUGACGUGGGAACUAAUAGGUUCUGGAGUGUUAUCAGUCCUGUAUUUCAUGGCUGGACCUUUAUCUUCUUUGCUUUUAAUGCACCCCAUGGUUGCUUCUGCCCGUCCUCGGCGGCGCGGGUGGGAGAAGGAGGGGGAGAGGGAAGGAAGCGGGGCCCCCCCCGCUCCUCCCGGAGCCGCGGCGACCCGGGGAGGGAAGGGGGGGAGGAGGGGAAGGGAGGAGGGAAGAGGAGCAGGAGGAGGGAGCCGGGCGCUCCGGUGCGUGCGAGGAGCCGGAGCCUGGCGGCGGGAGGAGGAGACUCCCCGCCCCUACGGCCGGGCUCUCCGGCGGGCACCUCCGGCCCCUCCUCCGCAGCGCUCCGCCUCGCCCCCGCUGCCCGCGGGCGCCCGGGUGAGGCGCGACACGAAGCUCCCCGCCCGAUCAGAGGCCGCGGGGAGGAGCCGGGCGGACCCCUCCUCGGCGGCGCCGCGCACCGAACCAACAUGGUGGCGGCAGCGGCAGCGCGGGGUGGAGGGGAGGCGAGGGGCAGCUCCCGAUCGGGGCCUUUCGGGGAGGGUUGCGCAGAGCCCGGCUGCCGCCUUCUUGCUUGACGCCGGUCAGGUGUGUGGCUUCAGCUCUGAGCUCUUCCGCCUGCCGUGGGAAAGGUGUGGAGAAAUUACUCUUCAACCACGCAGCCGGGGAUGUCCAGGCUUGGUGUGUUAUGGAUUUGAGUCAGACAGGACAAGGAAGGAGGAGCUGCACUCAUCUGCUGUAGCAUGUGUGGAAUACAGUGUGAGAUGCUGCUGCUGUGGUUUGCUGCUACCAGGUGCUGGGUACCAUUUCAUGACCAGUGCUUCAGGCAGGCUCAGCCUCUGUGAACUCCUCAGCUGUGCUGCGUUUCUGGUUUUCCAGGAAAAAUGCUGCUGUUAAGGUUGGGAUUAACAUAAUCACAAAGAUUAUGUGUAAUAUCCUAAAUGUAGACUGUGAAAAUUGUUACGUAUUUGAAUUGAUUCCUAAAGAAGGUGAUCAUUUAUAUUUAUGCAGUUCUAAAUGCACUUUUGGUUUUGGUUCAAAUUACCCAGUGAUUGGUAGGAUAAAGAACUUACUACGCCAAAGGAAGUAUUUUUAGUGGGAACACGGGUAUAAGAGCAGAAAGAAGGAAGGAACAGGAAUAGAGGUGUAGGAGAGCAGUCUGGGAUAUUUCAGGCACUGAUGUGGGUGCACAGAUUUGUGAUUGAGGAACACAGGACUUGUAUUCUGAGACUUGAGAAAAGCAGGACUUGUGUCCUGAGAUUUUGCAAGGAGGUGGGCAGGGCUUUUCUGAAGCACUUUAACAGUGUGUGCUGAUGGUUAAUGUAUGGUACGCAUUGUAGGCAUGUAGAAACUUGGAAACACUGAGACAUUCUUGAAAAUAAUUGGUGGGAUUGUUUUCCAGUAAAUCAGAAUAGCUCAUAGCCCUCUGCAAACAACUUUUAAAAGAUACCUUUACCUACAUUCAUCCUUUCAUUUUGAGAAAUAAGUGGUAGGCAGGUCCUCAUCUUAUUUUCAGAAGUGUGGAAAAUAUCGGCCUAUUAUAGAAGCAUCUUCCAAAAUUCAUGGGCUAAGUUCCCUUUGCUUAUUGUACUGUGUGAUGAAAUUGUAAAAAGCAGUUCUUCUUGGAAUGGGCUAGUGUUUGUUACAUGCUUAUUUUUAAGUGCUUUGAUAAAUAUUGUUCUUUUGUCAUGUUAAUUUCUUUGAGUGAAGCUAUUAAUAAAAUCACUGAUUUUUAGAAGUCAAACAUUUUACUUGGGUAUAAUGCAAGUUAUGUAUGAAUCCAGUAGUUCAGUGAAGAAGCAGUGUAAAGUCACGGGAUGGUGGAUCUGUUAUUUUUUCUUAUUCUGAAGCAAGAAUUCUAUUUAAACAUUACGUUACGCUUCUAUAGGUUUUCUUCAGAAAUGCCCUAUUUUGCCAUAAAAUCAUUCGACUCCUCCAAAUGGCCAGGGUCCGUGUGUUUGGUACUCACUUCUAUCUGAAAGAUUAAGUAUUCCAUUCUUACUCAAAUGCAAAUAGCGUUUCCCUGUGAUCUUGUGAAACAUGACUAACUACUUGCACAUGUUAUACUUUCAGCACGUGUGUGGAGGCUUAAAAAGAAAGACCACACGACACUGAUUCAAACAUUAUUUAGGAAAUCAUUUAAAGUUACUUCUGAAUGCAUGUUAUACUCUAUCUUGGAAAAUGCCACGCUUCUAAACCUGUUGCUAUUUACAUUUGUGUCACAUCCACUUAUAUCAGACACGCUGGAUUACAUUGUAUAAUGAAAGCCGUAUUGCUGUACUCUAAUCUUUAUCUCUUUAUAUCCGAUCUACUUUGAAUUGCACAUGAGUAUUGUUUAUGGUUACUUAAAAUAACUACUGCUUUUAUUUCAAGGGCAGUGUUAUGUAUGGUGAACACUUAACACGCAGCCCUACUUUGGCAGCAGCUACAGAUCCUGUAUCCUUGGUUCCUGCAUGAAAGCAGCAGAGAUCCAGAUCUUUCAUUUAAGUUUCACAUUUGAAAAAUCUGAAGCCUGUGCAAUUGUAGAUGUGAAGAAAAAUGUAAUGCAUUUCUUGAACCACUGUUCUCUUCUGAGGGAUUUGGAACUUAUACUCUUCCUCACAGAGCAGGUCGUGCACUGUUGCUCAGAAGGGAAAGGAACAAACAGCAAGAGAAAAAGAAAUACGUGUUAAAGCUGACCUGAACUACUUUUGGUAUUGACAUCAGUGCUUGAGUCGUUCAGAGCCUUUAAGAGUCUUCUCACUUCACUUACCAGCCUGUGUAAUGGAACAGUUUCUGCUGACUUUGGGAGAUUUGCACAUCUACGUAUUGGUUAUACUUACUAAGUUAUUGUUGUACAUUGUGCUGACUGCCUAAGAUAGUACUGUGGAAGAAACUCUUAAUAUCAUGAGAUGCAAAAUCCAAGUGAAUACAACAUUUAGACAGAGCUCUUAGGGGAUUCCACUCCAAAUUCAGUUAUUUCCCAGCACACACUGACUUUUAGCUGUUGAAUAUACAUGCUAUUCACAGAGCUUUUAUAUGUGACUUCAUAAGUGAAGUGGAGGAGGCAUAGCAAUUAUGCGCAUUGUCUUAUUAUAGUCCUUUGGACUAGCUUUCUUAAGGAGCCUUUCCCCCACCAUCCCAUCAUCCUUGCUGUAUUCCUGUUUUCUCCUCCUCCUCAUGGCUGGCUGGUACUUCCUCUGCUCUUAGCGUGGUCCAUUCUUGUGACCUCCCGCCCGACUGAAGAUGGACAACUUCUUCAGGCCUGUGCCAAUGCCCUUUGUUGUGCGUUAAUCCCUGAUAGAUCUGAAUUUCCCAUGCUAGGUUGUUAUUAUGGCCCUAGUGUUUUGAGGAUAAUUGCCUGGGCACCAGAAAGCCUUCCCUCCUCAUUUAGAUGAAUGUGUUGAUGUUUAUUAAUUUGGGAAUAGUUCCAGGAACAAAAUCAUUCCACAGUCUAGGAUGCCAGACAAAUCCUUAGAGCGGAGCUUUGAUCAGGAUGGGGCUGCUCACUGUCAUGUUCAGCAUUACAGGUGAACACAAACAUUGUGUACCAUCUAGAGAUCUCAGAAAAUUGGGCAGCUGUCAGAUGCAUUGUUUCUUUUCUUGGCAAGCCCUGCAUCUUUGUUGUUUAUCCUCCCUCUUCUGUUCCUUCAGCUGGAGGUUGCAGUCCCCUCAGGUCUGUCAGCAUAACUACAACUAUCAUUUUUUUCCUGUACUUUUACAGUUCUGCCAACAUGAUCACAGCCAGUUUGAGUCUCCUAACAGUUUUCUAAAAGCUGAGAUUUGGUUGGUACAACUUUGCUAAGGAAUGGCAGUGCUCACUGCUAUGAGGAAAGAGGUUACCACAUGUGGAGGAGACUGUCACCUUACUUGACCUCAGCUGCAGCCAGAACUUCCUGAAUUUUCCUACAAUUCAGAAUUUAGAAAACCCCAGUGUGAUUACAGUUAUAUACAAGAGACAGCAGUGGUGGGAAGGAGGGAGAAAACAAUGGCUAUGAUUUCCUGAUGUGUGUCUCUUGGCCCUGCAUGGAUCUUUUCUAGCCUUGCUUCAGAUAAAUACCCCUUUGUUCCUUUCUUCCUACCUGCUCAGCUCCACUGAAGCAGCUGCAGCCUUUUUUUUUUCUUCCCUAAGGGUGAACAGAGCGUCAGGACUGAGCCAGCCCAGGUAACAAAAGCUGGAGAAGAGGCACUUGUGGAAAACUCGCUGUUAAAAUAUGAACAACAGCAACAACAAAAAACACGCCACAGUAAGAGGUGGAAGAAGCCUGGAUUUACUGAAAGCAGCCUUGCCACUAGAUAAUGCUUUUUAAUAUUACUAGUAAGAGUUCUUCGACUUCUUCAACUUCUUUUGCUGAGGUUGUUCUUGGCAAUCAUCUGCUUCACUGCUGGGACACUUGCACUGUGAAAUCUGCUGUUCUCUCAUGUUAAGAGAAAGUAACUUUGCCAGCGAAUCUACAGAGAAGCACCUCGACCUCCAGACUGGGAGCAGUCAUUUGAGAUUUAGCAAGUCUCAUGCUGAUGUCAAGGAUAUGCCUUUUGCGGUAUCUCUUAAUAAUACACCCACAUCUGACCUGGUGGUGAGUAAGUCUCUGCACAGCCUCACUUUGCAUGUAGGGGCUUAGCUCAUCUAAGCUGAGUUCUCCCCAAACUAUCUGCAUAUCCUCCCACAAGCCCUGCUUGCCAAGCAGCCUGGAGAUGCUCUGCUCCAAGGCUUCAAAGGCGAAGCCAGCAUUUCUUUGCAAUUAGGUAGAAAUGUACAGCUGGGAUGGACCUCCCACUGUGCAGCAAUCAUUGUGGGAAAGUAUCAGUUGCCUUUCCCUUCUCCACGCCUGGCUUAAAAAGAACAGAAAAGUACAAGAAUAAAUAAAUGAGGAAGACUCUGCUUCCAUGUUGCUCUUCUCUAGUUCUGCAGGCUGCUGCUUUGUCCUGCUCUAUCAUUAGCACACUUCUUGAAGAGCUGGCUCUCAAGUGGGGAAACAAGCGGAGCAAAACCCAGCCUGAGCCCCCUGCACAAGUGUUUAUGCUGGGGAUACAUCAUAGCUUUUUGGAACUUCUAAUGUUUGUAUUCUUCAAAAGGCAGGAAAAAACUGCUACGUUCAGCAGAAAACUCUCUAUAUUCCAUGAACUUAGAACUGAAACUAUAAAAAUGCCAAAUAUUAAUUUUUUGUUGUUGUUGUUGUUUUGAAUGGAGAGCUUGUAUCAACAUGUGUUUCUCUGAAUUUUGAGUUACUCUUAAAAAGAUGGAGCUGACACGUACUCCUUCAUUUACCUUAAGCACAUAGUUAAUUGAUCCUUUUGGUUUGGAGAACUGCAAAACUGUGAUGGGAAUACACAAAUCUUCAAUUUUUUAAAAAAUAGUAUCUUACUUCACUAUUUCCUUUUAGUCUCUACAUUUCUUUAAAUAGUCUAUAGCAGCCAAAUAAUAUCAUGCAAGAGAUAUUUCAUUGCUCAUAGAAUAAACUGUAAUUGUGCAAUAAAAGAAUGCAUUUGUCAUUCUCAUAAUGGGACAAAAUUAAUUACUUGGAGACAAAUCCAGCUAAAGAAAAUAAGAGAAAUACUAAAUCAAAAAUACGUAACAUUAAAGGUUACAUUAAUGUUGCUUCCUUCUACUUGUUUUUCCUUUCACUUUUGGUUAAAAAGGGAUUUUCCAAAGCACAGGAAUUUGCUCAUUCUAUUCCUAGUUCUUUGAAAACAGAGUGUAUGAAAAUCAGACUGACUGUUCCACCCUGAAUCAUAUUGUUUGCUUUUGUUUUCUAAUUGGGAAGAAUAAUAAAACAUGGAAAGCUCAAAAAUAUUUGGGUUUUGAAAUGUGGUCUUGGGGCAUCUUUGAUGGAUCAUCCUAACACAGCUAGAAGGGACUCUAUUGUUCUUUAUGGAAAAUAUAAUCCAUCCAGGGACCCCAGAUGACAGGGGAAAUGAGGGGCCUAAACCAUGACAAACUCCUGAUGAGUAAUGACAAACCAUCCUGAAGCAAAACAUUUUGAUUUGCUUGGACGGUUCAAAACAUUUUGGAUUCUCUUUUAUUUUCCCACAGGGACAUUACGUUGUUUUGGCACAACCAACUUUUUCCUGUGGAAAAAAAAAAUAUUGCAGAAACCACUUUUCUACUAAAAAACAUGGACAGAAAUCCCUGGAUCAGCAGUAAAGAGAAGAUGUCAAACCAGAACCAAGCACAUUUGAAAAUAUUCUCCCCAGAGAACAUUAAGAAUACUCCAACCUGGCAGUGAGAAUUUUAUAUCAUCUCCAUAUUUUACACUAGUAUAAAGGUAAAUAUAUUUCAUAGACAGUGAACGUAACGUGAUGAAAUCCAUGUGGCAUGGCUUGAUACGUUUCAACACAUUUAAAAUAUGAUGUUUCACUGAGGCCUUCAAAAGCUGUUUCUUUCAAAAAAGUCGAAGUCUUGUGGAAAACUUAGGCCUUUGAAAUGAAAAACUACACUUGAGAUUUCACAACUGUGAACUUGUUAAAAAACUGACCAGUGCUUUUGAAAAAAAAAAUAACAUUCUACAAAGCAGAGGGUUUAAGCACUUUCCCUAUGGGGACAAGCUGAGUGAAUUGGGGCUCUUCAGCCUGGAGAAGGGUCCAGAAGGACCUUCUAGCGGCCUUCCAAUAUCUGAAGGGGGCCUACAGGAAAGCUGGAAAAGCACUUUUUGUAAGGUAUGUAGCAAUAGGGUGAGGGGAAAUGGCUUUAAACUGGAAGAGGGUAGGUUUAGAGUAGAUAUAAGGAAGAAAUUCUUUACUGUGAGAGUGGUGAGACACUGAAACAGGUUACCCAGUGAGGUUGUGGAUGCCCCCUUACUGGAAACAUUCAAGGCCAGGCUGGAUGGGGCUGUGAGCAACCUGGUCUACAGGGAGGUGUCCCUGCCUAUAGCAGGGGGUUGGAACCAGGUGAUCUUAAAUGUUCCUUCCAAUACAAACCAUUCUAUGAUGUUUCUAUGAAGUUUUUAGAAAAAUUCUUUGUUAUUUGUUACUCAGAAUCAUAUUGCUACGUUCAGUUCUAAAAAACAGGGACACAAAACUUUUUUAAAGCAAAGCAUGAGGUAUGGCGGGGUCUUCCUGAAGUCUUAGGUCAGUGGUAGUUAGGUAACCUGCCAGGCCAUCGCACAGCCUUGAGUCCCUCUUGGCACCUGGAAGCAGCAAAUUCAAAGAGAAAGCCUUUGGCUUUCUAGAACUGGCAGCCACCUCUCUGUCUAUGUUUCAGGACAACUUCUCUGCUAAAUGUGGUAAAGUUUGCCCUGGCUUCUUCUGUAUCAAGGCAGGCUUCAUCCUGGCAGUGGUAUGUAGAGGACAAGGCCUGUUGUUUCCCAC